UAACAGACUGUGGUUAAUAUGCAGCUGGGAAAGAGACUCGAGAUAGAUACUCAAGUGUUUUCGAGGCAUACACUAGAAGAACUGGCUUAGGAACCGGCCUUCAAGCUGAUCGGUCUAGUAGACCGAGAACCUCAGAGAAUGUUCUUGCAUCUAGAGACGCGCUAAACCAGGAGAGAUCAAUGACUUCAUCUAGGAACCAGAGUUCUUCGAGAAAAGCAGUAGCGGGAUCAAGUGUUCGAGCUACUUCCUCAGCUGAUUUCGCAGAGAACCGAACCAGCAGCAGGCUCGUCCCAAGCAACGGUCGUUCCUCGACAACGCAGAGGACACAGUUUGCGCCUUCUUCUUCCUCAAAGGCUGCACCGUCGAGAAUUCCUCCUGACGUUACACUAGAGUUUCUCAGUAUUGGGAACGGGAAGAGGAAGUGAUGGAUGAUAAUUUAUUUAUCCAUCUUUUGUUUGACAAGUUAUAUUACCUUUCAUCCUCCUGGUUGAUUACACUGAUACAGUGUGGAUAUUAAUAUUUUCGAAUUAUGUUUUAUUAGCCGUAUAAACAACAUGGUAUUAAAUAUUAAUACUCAGCGUUAUAACUUAUUAUGCUUUAUUUCAUCUC